UUCGCAAUGCCCGAAAGGGUGACGAAGCGACGCCGCGUGGGUGAGGAAGGCCUUCGGGUUGUAAAGCCCUGUCAGGAGUUAAGAAAUGUAAGUGCGCUAAUAUCGCAUUUAUUUGACGAAGGCUCCAAAGGAAGCCACGGCUAACUCUGUGCCAGCAGCCGCGGUAAUACAGAGGUGGCAAGCGUUGUUCGGAAUUAUUGGGCGUAAAGAGCACGUAGGUGGAUUUGUAAGUCAGAUGUGAAAGCCUUCUGUUCAACGGAAGAAUUGCAUCUGAAACUACAAACCUUGAGUAUAGGAGGGGAGAAUGGAACUUCUGGUGGAGCGGUGAAAUGCGUAGAUAUCAGAAGGAACGCCGGCGGCGAAAGCGAUUCUCUGGCCUAUUACUGACACUCAGUGUGCGAAAGCUAGGGGAGCAAACGGGAUUAGAUACCCCGGUAGUCCUAGCCGUAAACGAUGGGCACUAAGUAGAGGGGUUUU
rnacentral:rRNA from 1 species